rnacentral:tmRNA from 1 species
UAUGUAAGCAUGUAGUGCGUUGUUAGUAGAGCACUUUAAUCUGAACUUUCAGAAUUAUAACUGGCGAAGAAAACUACGCCUUAGCUGCUUAAGUUAGACUUAACAUAGCUAUUUGUCCCGUUAGAUCCUGUUCUUUGGUUUAACAUUCGGGGCAUCGAACAAUAGAACUGGCAAGUGUGAUGUUGCUAAGCACUUGUGAGAAACAGCAACUACGGCGUACGGUAUAGGUAGGCGACUCACCUUCCCUCGCUCGACAAUUAAAGAGAAGCUAAACAUGUAGAAAGCGUA